rnacentral:rRNA from 1 species
UACGUAGGGUGCAAGCGUUGUCCGGAAUUAUUGGGCGUAAGGAGCUCGUAGGCGGUUCGUCGCGUCGGCUGUGAAAACCCGGAGCUCAACUCCGGGCCUGCAGUCGAUACGGGCGGACUUGAGUGUUGCAGGGGAGACUGGAAUUCCUGGUGUAGCGGUGAAAUGCGCAGAUAUCAGGAGGAACACCGGUGGCGAAGGCGGGUCUCUGGGCAACUACUGACGCUGAGGAGCGAAAGUGUGGGGAGCGAACAGG